UAACAAGGUCUCCGUUGGUGAACCAGCGGAGGGAUCAUUACCGAGUUUACAACUCCCAAACCCCUGUGAACAUACCAAUUGUUGCCUCGGCGGAUCAGCCCGCUCCCGGUAAAACGGGACGGCCCGCCAGAGGACCCCUAAACUCUGUUUCUAUAUGUAACUUCUGAGUAAAACCAUAAAUAAAUCAAAACUUUCAACAACGGAUCUCUUGGUUCUGGCAUCGAUGAAGAACGCAGCAAAAUGCGAUAAGUAAUGUGAAUUGCAGAAUUCAGUGAAUCAUCGAAUCUUUGAACGCACAUUGCGCCCGCCAGUAUUCUGGCGGGCAUGCCUGUUCGAGCGUCAUUUCAACCCUCAAGCCCAGCUUGGUGUUGGGACUCGCGAGUUAAAUCGCGUUCCCCAAAUUGAUUGGCGGUCACGUCGAGCUUCCAUAGCGUAGUAGUAAAACCCUCGUUACUGGUAAUCGUCGCGGCCACGCCGUUAAACCCCAACUUCUGAAUGUUGACCUCGGAUCAGGUAGGAAUACCCGCUGAACUUAAGCAUAUCAA
rnacentral:rRNA from 1 species